UAAGACAAUAAAUCAAAAAGGCAACAAAAAAAGUAUUUUGUGAUUUUUCGAUUAAAACAUUUUUUCUGGCAGAAAACGUCGUUCGUGUUUUUAUAAUAUAAUGAAAUCGUGAAAUUGUACGGUUUCCUACGUUUUUUCCCACUUAAGUGCUUUUAUUUAAAAACUGGCGUUGAAAAUAUUUAAUGUACAAUUUAGACAACUUGAACUUUCAG